rnacentral:rRNA from 1 species
GAUGAGCGCUGGCGGCGUGCCUAAUACAUGCAAGUCGAGCGAACGGACGAGAAGCUUGCUUCUCUGAUGUUAGCGGCGGACGGGUGAGUAACACGUGGAUAACCUACCUAUAAGACUGGGAUAACUUCGGGAAACCGGAGCUAAUACCGGAUAAUAUUUUGAACCGCAUGGUUCAAAAGUGAAAGACGGUCUUGCUGUCACUUAUGGAUGGAUCCGCGCUGCAUUAGCUAGUUGGUAAGGUAACGGCUUACCAAGGCAACGAUGCAUAGCCGACCUGAGAGGGUGAUCGGCCACACUGGAACUGAGACACGGUCCAGACUCCUACGGGAGGCAGCAGUAGGGAAUCUUCCGCAAUGGGCGAAAGCCUGACGGAGCAACGCCGCGUGAGUGAUGAAGGUCUUCGGAUCGUAAAACUCUGUUAUUAGGGAAGAACAUAUGUGUAAGUAACUGUGCACAUCUUGACGGUACCUAAUCAGAAAGCCACGGCUAACUACGUG